AAAAGCAAACCCUAAAAAUUAACUACAUCCUAAUUUCUAGAAAAAAAAAUCCAGUAGUUUCUCCGCAAUCCACUCUUUCAUCUACCACCAUCGUUCCACCUUGGAAUGAUCUGUACUUUUAGCGUCCUCGAUGGAAGUUCUUGUAGAAAAAAGAAACCGUCGAAAUCUUUCAUUUUUCAUUUUUUUGACCCAUUUCAAACCCUGUUCAAAAUUUUUUUGUCCCUUUUAGCUGCUAACUCUACCCUUUGAGGGCUUCAUCAAUCCAUACCUUUGUUUCUGGCCAGUUCUUCCCUUCCUCUGCCAUCACACGUGCCGCUUGGUUCACUGUUCACCCAACGAAAGAGCAUGUAACAUUUUCGAAUGUCCAACAUCUUUCUUUUAUUUCUUGAAUAAUCACUGCAAUACUUGAUUUAUCCUUUUCUAAUGACCAGAUUUUUUUGAUUACUAUCAACUCCUUCCACUAUCAUAUUUUGAAAACUUAGCUACUCAGCCACCGAAGCUGCCUAAAGACAUUCUUUCACCUCCACCAUGGUGGCAUCUAUUAUAAAGGUGUUGUGGUCUUGGAAUCCACGCCUCAUUUCAAACGUUGAUGGAUUUUUCAUUACCAACCCUUAAACCCAGGCCCUCCUCUAGGAGUCCUAUUGCGCUCCAUAUGCUCCACUAGGUAUAAGAUGGUUGAUUGAGGUGUAGUAGCAGGUUCAGUUGGUGUAGAAAUAUGGUUCACUUCUUCUCUUUCCUGGAGGUCCAUUGGAGACAUGAUUUAAAUAAAUAAAAGAUGGCCAUGCACAAAUUAUCCAUGUGGACGGCAAGACCAUGCAAUUUUGGGCAUGAAGUUGACUAUUUGACCCAGUAAAGAAGGUGAUAAAAGAUGGACAUGUCUGCUAAGUUAUUGGACUGAAAAAACCAUCCAACAAGGGGAAUUAAAAGCCCAAUUUUGGCACUUGAUGUUGGCUUUCCAAAAUUUAUUUUAGGAUAUUUAAUUGAAGGUCCUUACAAUUGGAAAAAAAAUUAGAAUUCAGCCCAACAAUUUCCCUGUUGGAACCAUCCACUCUAUAGCUAUUUUUAGCUUGAAAUUCGAAUUCAAAUUGAGAAGACUUGGUCAUCCCUUUUCCUUGAAGCAUGACCGACCACAUGAGAGAGGGAAGGAAAGAAAUUUAAACCUAUUUUUAGUAAACUCAAACCUUUACUUUCACCUAUAAAUACCUUGCCAUUCAUCACUUUUCCAUCAUCCCUCAUUUCUCAACAUUACUCUCUCACUCACUCUAGUUUUCUCUAAAUUCUUUUUCCCUUUUUCCCUUGCAUAGCCGUCCAUCCCCUCUCCCUUCUUUAGGCUCAAAAGCUUUGUCAAAAGCACUCUUUAGCCGGCUAUCUUCUAAACCCUUAGCAAAAGAAGCUUCAAUCAGAACGGAGGAGCGCUUCAGUCAAAAUAGAUAGAAUAGAUCCGAAAGGCUGCUGAACUGAGCAGAGUUGAGCACAUUAGUCAGAGUAGAUUUGAAAGGCUGUUGAACUGAGUCUACUAUUUCCUCUUUAUUAUCUAUUUUAACAUGUUUGAUUUGAGUUUUAUGCUUUUGACAUCAAGUAUGAAGUUUUAAAUCCUAUUUGCUGGGAUAAUUAUAUUAAGUUAAUGAGAUUUAUUUAAUUCAUGUUUUCAA